rnacentral:rRNA from 1 species
AGAUUGAACGCUGGCGGCAGGCCUAACACAUGCAAGUCGAGCGGCAGCACGGGUACUUGCACCUGGUGGCGAGCGGCGGACGGGUGAGUAAUGCCUAGGAAUCUGCCUGGUAGUGGGGGAUAACGCUCGGAAACGGACGCUAAUACCGCAUACGUCCUACGGGAGAAAGCAGGGGACCUUCGGGCCUUGCGCUAUCAGAUGAGCCUAGGUCGGAUUAGCUAGUUGGUGAGGUAAUGGCUCACCAAGGCGACGAUCCGUAACUGGUCUGAGAGGAUGAUCAGUCACACUGGAACUGAGACACGGUCCAGACUCCUACGGGAGGCAGCAGUGGGGAAUAUUGGACAAUGGGCGAAAGCCUGAUCCAGCCAUGCCGCGUGUGUGAAGAAGGUCUUCGGAUUGUAAAGCACUUUAAGUUGGAGGAAGGCAGUUACCUAAUACGUAUCUGUUUUGACGUUACCGACAGAAUAAGCACCGGCUAACUCUGUG